rnacentral:tRNA from 1 species
GGACCAUGGCUCAUUGAUAGAGCAUCUGCAUUGCAUGCAGAAGGUUCCAGCUUUAAUCCCUGGCAUCUCCA